AUACGUAGGUGGCGAGCGUUGUCCGGAAUUACUGGGUGUAAAGGGCGUGUAGGCGGGGGUGCAAGUCAGAUGUGAAAGACCAUGGCUCAACUGUGGGGGUGCAUCUGAAACUGUGUCUCUUGAGUGCUGGAGAGGGAAGCGGAAUUCCUAGUGUAGCGGUGAAAUGCGUAGAUAUUAGGAGGAACACCGGUGGCGAAGGCGGCUUCCUGGACAGCAACUGACGCUGAGGCGCGAAAGCGUGGGUAGCGAACAGGAUUAGAUACCCUGGUAGUCCACGCCGUAAACGAUGGAUACUAGGUGUAGGAGGUAUCGACCCCUUCUGUGCCGCAGUAAACACAAUAAGUAUCCCACCUGGGGAGUACGGUCGCAAGACUGAA
rnacentral:rRNA from 1 species